UGAAAAAUCGUGCAGUCGAGUAAGCUAUUUCUCAAUAAAUGUCAACGAGGAGAAGCGGCUCGACAGAGUGAGGUGAUACGUGUGCGGUGCAUGUGCGAGGAUGAUGGUGAUUGCAAGUUUAUCUUUCAAAAUGCAAGGGAAUAGAAAUUUCCAUUUUGUAAAAUCAUUUAUACAUUAUUUACAACAUUAUAUAUCACCCAAGUAUAGACGGUCACUCGUUUUCGCCCGAGACAUCAGAUAGGAUAUGGCACCUAGUGUAAUAUCAUUAAAGAGUCACAUAAAUUGUGUGAACUUUGCGUCAGCUUGGUGGUUCAAAUUGAACUGUUAGGCGAAGAAUGUGGUUCAACUUGAGCUGCUUUAAGCUCUGAUGAGCCGAAGGGCGAAAUGCGAAGAAAUCAAAACGAAAUAUGUACUUUUCGUGCAAACCAAAAACCCUAAA